UGGGGAAUAUUGGACAAUGGGCGAAAGCCUGAUCCAGCCAUGCCGCGUGUGUGAAGCAGGUCUUCGGAUUGUAAAGCACUUUAAGUUGGGAGGAAGGGCAUUAACCUAAUACGUUAGUGUUUUGACGUUACCGACAGAAUAAGCACCGGCUAACUCUGUGCCAGCAGCCGCGGUACUACAGAGGGUGCAAGCGUUAAUCGGAAUUACUGGGCGUAAAGCGCGCGUAGGUGGUUUGUUAAGUUGGAUGUGAAAUCCCCGGGCUCAACCUGGGAACUGCAUUCAAAACUGACUGACUAGAGUAUGGUAGAGGGUGGUGGAAUUUCCUGUGUAGCGGUGAAAUGCGUAGAUAUAGGAAGGAACACCAGUGGCGAAGGCGACCACCUGGACUAAUACUGACACUGAGGUGCGAAAGCGUGGGGAGCAAACA
rnacentral:rRNA from 1 species